UGACUAGUUCAAAUCCAGUGCCGGCCCCGUUUGACCAGUUUGGAGGUGACACUAGAGCGCUCCCCCCAAGGUCAUCUGGACAACGUUUCACUAGGCUGGAUGAGACACGGUCGAUUGGAGCAGGUUAGAGCUCUGAGUUUGUGGAGUCGAUCGAAGGAAAUGAAUGAGACCAAGUUGGAGCUGAAGCAGCCUUUCUCCUCAUCGCUCAGCCGGCUUUCCCUUCACACACUCUCACAGUGCUCUGAGAAAGAGCAGCGCAGCAUCCAGCAGACCCAUCUGUCUUGGUCUAGUGGAAACCCAGUCAACGUUUCCUUCAGCCUAAACAAACGAUGGCAGCUUAACUCUAGCAAGGAGCAAGCAUGUGUUCUGUUGUCAACCCAAAAGAUGGCAGGAUCUCCUGUCAAGGGUUGUAUCUCAAUCAGCCACGAAGGAAACCUAUUUUCACAAAAUGCUGAGCUAAGAUGGGACAACAGGAGUGUUAAACAAGGGAUGAAGUAUCAGGUACACAAACG